rnacentral:rRNA from 1 species
UCAUGGCUCAUCCACAGUGCUGCAUGGUUGUCGUCAGCUCGUGUCGUGAGAUGUAAGGUUAAGUCCUUGAACGAGCGCAACCCCUGUCGCUAGUUGCUAACCCGCAAGGGUGCACCCUAGCGAUACUGCCAGCUAAAAGUUGGAGGAAGGAGGGGAUGACGUCAAAUCCUCAUGGCCUUUAUGUCCAGGGCUACACACAUGCGACAAUGGUCGGUACAACGGGUCGCAACACCGCGAGGUGAAGCCAAUCCCUUAAAACCGACCUCAGUUCAGAUUGCAGGCUGCAAUUCGCCUGCAUGAAGAUGGAGUUGCUAGUAACCGCGGGUCAGCAUCACCGCGGUGAAUAUGUUCCCGGGCCUU